AAAAUAAUCCUACCCUUUGUGAAUUUUGUUUGUUUGAAUAAUUUUUUUUUUUUAAAAAAUUAUUGGAGUCUUUCCCUUUAGAGUUUGCUUUUGAGUUUGUAAAAGAAUUCGAAGACAUCUAAAGGGGAUGGUCAAUAAUUUUUUUGAAAAAAGACAUUUUUUAAAAUUAAACUUUUUGUAUUCAUUUGUCUAAAAAUUAUUUUUAUAAUAUAAAAACAACUUUUGACAAUGGAUCUCUUGGUUCUCGCAACGAUGAAGAACGCAGCAAAAUGCGAUAAGUAGUGUGAAUUGCAGAAUACGUGAAUCAUCGAAUCUUUGAACGCGUAUUGCACUUUUUUAGCUUACUAAAAAGUAUGUCUGUUUGAGUAUCAGUAAAAUAUUCUCAUAAAAAUCAUUGUGUAUUUUUAUGGUUAUGAGUGUUUUACAACGAUACAAGUUGUUUCACUUUAAAUUUUUUUUUAAUAUUGAAAUUUUUCUAAUUUUAAUAAUUAAAAUUGGAUAAAAUUUUCCCGUCAAAAGGAAUAACCUAAACAAUUUUAAAUGAUUAAUUUUAGCAAAAUUUUCGAAAAAAAAGGAAAAUUUUUAUUAAAAUAACUUGAUCUCAAAUCAGAUAAGAGUACCCGCUGAACUUAAGCAUAUCAAUAAGCGGAGGAAAAGAAACUAACAAGGAUUCCCUUAGUAACGGCGAGUGAAGCGGGAAGAGCUCAAAUUUGAAAUCUUCAAGGUUUUACCUUGACGAAUUGUAGUUUAAAGAAGUGUUUUCUGCUGAAGUUUUGGUAAAAGUUCUUUGGAAUAGGACAUCAUAGAGGGUGAGAAUCCCGUAUUUGACCAUUAUUUUCAGCUUUGUGAUACACUUUCAAAGAGUCGGAUUGUUUGGGAAUGCAGUCCAAAAUGGGUGGUAAAUUUCAUCUAAAGCUAAAUAUUGGCGAGAGACCGAUAGCGAACAAGUACCGUGAGGGAAAGAUGAAAAGAACAUUGAAAAGAGAGUUAAACAGUACGUGAAAUUGUCAAAAGGGAAGCGUCUGACACCAGUGUUGUUUUCUCGAAAAUCAAUUAAAAAUGGCUCGAUUUUGUAUUGCUGAGACCUUAAAAGCUCACUGUACAUUUUUCGUGUCUUUUUUAAUGCACUUUUCGUUUAACAAGUCAACAUCAGUUUCUUUUGUUGUAAAAGGGUCAUUGGAAGGUGGCUUUCUUUUCGGAGAAAGUGUUUAUAGCCUUUGGCCUCUGCAAUCGGAGAGACUGAGGUCUGCAGCGUAGACUCUUCGGGGUUAGAUACAUUUGUGCUAAGUUAUAGCUUUUUAUAGACAACUUGUUGACUAUAAUUAGUCUUGUAGCUUACUCGCUUAUGCUAUUUUACC
rnacentral:misc_RNA from 1 species